GAUGAACGCUGGCGGCGUGCCUAAUACAUGCAAGUCGAGCGAACAGACGAGGAGCUUGCUCCUCUGACGUUAGCGGCGGACGGGUGAGUAACACGUGGAUAACCUACCUAUAAGACUGGGAUAACUUCGGGAAACCGGAGCUAAUACCGGAUAAUAUAUUGAACCGCAUGGUUCAAUAGUGAAAGACGGUUUUGCUGUCACUUAUAGAUGGAUCCGCGCCGCAUUAGCUAGUUGGUAAGGUAACGGCUUACCAAGGCAACGAUGCGUAGCCGACCUGAGAGGGGGAUGGGCCCCCCAGAACUUGAACACCGGCCCAGCCCCCUACGGGAGGCAGAGUGAGGGAAUUUUCCGAAAUGGGGGAAAGCUUGACGGAGAAACGCCGGGGGGGUGAAGAAGGGCUUCGGGUCGGAAAACCCUUUUAUGGGGGAAAAACAAAUUUGUAAGUAACUAUGCCCGUCUGGACGGAACCAAAUCAGAAAGCCCCGCUUAACUCGGG
rnacentral:rRNA from 1 species